rnacentral:lncRNA from 1 species
GAGGUGUGGGGUUGAAUAUCUAGGGCUGGGAGAAUCGGAAGGUAUUGGAGCUAUUUGGAGUGGCAGAGAUGGUGCAGGAGGCAGGUCAAGGAACUUGUAAUAGGGAGGUACAGUUAGGAUAUAGGUGUUGCUGCUUGGGGUGGUUAUGUGUGUAAGUAAUAAACGAAAGGGAAAUUGAGGAUUAAGGAGCCAGGAAGAUGUUGGGAGGAAAUCAAAGGAUGAUUUGGGGAGGAAGACGGAGAAACAGCAAGGAUUAUAUUUUCCUUUGAAGAGUUGCUGGGACCUUUCCUAGGUUAGGAAUUGUGUCUUCUCUUAUACUGGUGGUAUAAGAACAGGAAAUAAUACUUAUUCCUCAAGGGACUAUCUGAGGAGAACCGGAGCCUUACCAUCAAACUUCGGAAACGGAAGCCAGAGAAAAAGGUAGAAUGGACAAGUGACACUGUGGACAAUGAACACAUGGGCCGCCGCUCAUCCAAAUGCUGCUGUAUUUAUGAGAAACCUCGGGCCUUUGGCGAGAGCUCCACGGAAAGUGAUGAGGAGGAAGAAGAGGGCUGUGGUCAUACACACUGUGUACGUGGCCACCGCAAAGGACGGCGUCGUGCAACCCUAGGACCGACCCCCACCACCCCUCCCCAGCCUCCUGACCCUUCCCAGCCCCCUCCAGGGCCAAUGCAGCACUAAAUCCCUCUCUCCUCCAGCAUUCCUGUGUCUGUCUGGCCCUAAAUGUAUCCAUGUGGCUACUUCUCCAGCCCCCUCCUUCCCUCUCUUCUGCCUGAUAGAGGGAAGAGGAAGAGGAGGACGAACAGAGAUCCUGAAAUUCUGACUUGCUGCUAUUCCAGAACCCAGCCUCCUGGGUUUCCCCAGUCCUCAUUUUUCCUCCCAAUACCCACCCUUCUCUCUCGAGGGAUCUAGGCACCUUGGUCCCAGUGUCUUCCUUUUGUUCUCACUGCCAAACUGCCUGUCCUGGGAUCUAGUUAUCUUGGCCCUGCACUCUCAACAUGAGUAGCGAACACUUAAAUUGGGUUUUCAACAGUCCCAGCUUUCACUGCCAGGGUCCCAGUCAGAUUCCAGGAAUUUGCGCCCUAACUUUGCUUGCUAAUCCUGGUUUAGAGCUAUCCCACUAAAAUAUUUAAUCCUAAUUCUUAGUCCUUGCCUGUGAGAUAUGAGGUCUUACAGGAGACCUCAGAGCUCCCAGCCCUUCUCCUCCUGCUAACCCUUCUCACACCCUCAAGAGGAGUUAGAAAAGAGGUCCUUGUCAUUCUCACCUCUUAUGGAAAAUGGAAUAAGAAAUAAUCAUAUCCUUUCUUCCCACCCUUCUCCUGUUAUUUAGGAUUUCUGACAAAGCUGGCUUGAGAUUGGUCACUUAGAGCCGACUGUCUCCUCUGCCUUUUGUUUUUCAGCUUCAGAGACAGAUCCAAUAUAGUCCCAGGGACCUGGGUCUCUGGGAGAGGAAGGAAGAGGGAGGGAGCAAAGAGAUUGGGGUAUGUCCCCUGUAGUACACUCUUACCUCUUACUUCCUAGACUUUGAUUUCUCCGGCAGCCCAGAUGUUCAGUUCUCUUGGCCCCUCUCUACCCCUUACUGGGAUCCGGUUUUCAUUUUCCGGUCCUUUUGCCAUACACAGUUACAGAGAUCAGUCAAAUCCAUACCACCACUGAGAUCUCAUUUAUUGCCACAGAUGCACAAAAUAAAUAACCCAAA